rnacentral:rRNA from 1 species
CCGACCGCGCACGGGUGAGUUAACACGUAUGGAACCUGCCCGCAGCAGGGGGAUAAGCGGAAGAAAUUCCGUCUAAUACCGCGUAACACCGCAGAGGGGCAUCCCUCGGCGGUUAAAGAUUCAUCGGCUGCGGAUGGCCAUGCGGCGCAUUAGCUAGUCGGCGGGGUAACGGCCCACCGAGGCGACGAUGCGUAGGGGUUCUGAGAGGAAGGUCCCCCACACUGGUACUGAGACACGGACCAGACUCCUACGGAAGGCAGCAG